AGUUUUUGUAGCCUGGAGGGGAAGGAGAAGAGGAGAAGAAAGUCACCCAUAGAUUGUGUGCCUGUGGAAAAGAGGAGAUCUACUACUUCUUGAGGUUUGAUGUCCAAACUGGGUGCAGUCAUACAAGCAUCUCAUCAGGUGAAUAACUAAUUCCC
rnacentral:lncRNA from 1 species